GCUUCUGUGAAAGAUAAUAUAAGCUCACUGGAGUCUGCCAAAGUUGAUGCAAAUGGAGUUUCAGCUGGAGAGGAAUCAACUGGUCUCAAGGCAGAUGUAAAGGAGUCUGAAGUUGCGAAUUCACCAAACCAAUUAAAGCCAGGUGAAAUUAGUUGUAUGAAUACAUUUAUUUGCAAGUUGAUACCAUCAUGAGGUUUUGAAUUUAACCAGAUGAAAGAGAUAGCCCUUUUUUUUUUCUUUUUUGAAAAAUACACAGAAUUUUAUUUAUCAAAAGGCCAAAGCCAAGUACUACAUGCCAAUUCAAGUAUAGCAAUCCAUCUCCGAAGCAUACAUUUGAAAACCUACCAAAAACCCGUGAAAAAACAAAACAAAAUUUGGAAGCAGUCCUCAUGAAAACACUUGUUGAAGCUUUUGGUACUCAAUGAACUCCUACUCGUGCAUUGGACUCGGUGUUGUAAACAAAAAGAGAAGCCCGUAGUAUACAUGUAAAGAUAACCAGAACUGAACUGCAACAGCCGCAAAAUCAUAGGGGGCAAGUGAUGGAUAAAUGGUGAUAAUAGCAGCAGCAGCAGCAUGAUUGAACUGGAAGUAGGAGAAGCAUGAAUUUCAGAGGUAAUGGCGGCAAUAUCUGCAGCAGCAGAAAAUGUGAUUAACUGAGAACAAAGGAAAAUCAUAUGAAAGAGCAGCAGAAGAUGUGAUUGAUUUAUAGCAUAGCAAAUAAUUGGUGUCAGCAAACAUGAAACUGGAGGAACUUAAGCGGAUGCAAUCAAUAGCCUUUGAAAGACUGAGGAAAGAAACUUUGCAGAGACCAAAGCAAACAAAAGAGAAUCAAAACAACAGAUGUAAAUUUGAUGGGGCAAGGAUACACAUGAGAUUGGAGCUGCAAAUGAAGAUCCGGGCAAGAGAAAAUGAAAGAUAUGGAACUUGAUUUAUAAUUUUAAUGAUUUUUUUUGGCUUCCGGAGGCACAAGUUGAAAGAGUGGCAUACGUUCAUGAUAAUUUUGCAAUUUUUUGAAUUUUAGUUGAAGGCUAAGAAAGGUCUAAUUCUUAACUAGCUGAGAUAAUUCACUUUGUACCUUGAAUCGACAUAUGGCCAAAAUUGCAAACAUUUAGUUUUCCUUGCUAAUAAUUAUUUAUUUAUUUUUAUCUCUCCAUGUAGAAUUCUUUAUUUAUUUGGGAAGAUUUUUUUUUUUAAAAUUUUGUUAUGAGAGN
rnacentral:lncRNA from 1 species